GAUGAACGCUGGCGGCGUGCCUAACACAUGCAAGUCGAACGGACAUUUUUUGGAAAGCUCUUCGGAACUGGAAUCUAAAUGUUAGUGGCGGACGGGUGAGUAACGCGUGAGCAAUCUGCCUUUCAGAGGGGGAUAACAGCCGGAAACGGCUGCUAAUACCGCAUAAUGCAUUGGAUUCGCAUGUUUCUGAUGCCAAAGAUUUUAUCGCUGAAAGAUGAGCUCGCGUCUGAUUAGCUAGUUGGCGGGGUAACGGCCCACCAAGGCGACGAUCAGUAGCCGGACUGAGAGGUUGAACGGCCACAUUGGGACUGAGACACGGCCCAGACUCCUACGGGAGGCAGCAGUGGGGAAUAUUGCGCAAUGGGGGCAACCCUGACGCAGCAACGCCGCGUGAUUGAUGAAGGUCUUCGGAUUGUAAAAAUCUUUAAUCAGGGACGAAGAAAAUGACGGUACCUGAAGAAUAAGCUCCGGCUAACUACGUGCCAGCAGCCGCGGUAAUACGUAGGGAGCAAGCGUUAUCCGGAUUUACUGGGUGUAAAGGGCGUGUAGGCGGGCUUGCAAGUUGGAAGUGAAAUCUCGGGGCUUAACCCCGAAACUGCUUUCAAAACUGCGAGUCUUGAGUGAUGGAGAGGCAGGCGGAAUUCCCAGUGUAGCGGUGAAAUGCGUAGAUAUUGGGAGGAACACCAGUGGCGAAGGCGGCCUGCUGGACAUUAACUGACGCUGAGGCGCGAAAGCGUGGGGAGCAAACAGG
rnacentral:rRNA from 1 species